rnacentral:rRNA from 1 species
CCUACGGGUGGCAGCAGUGAGGAAUAUUGGUCAAUGGGCGGGAGCCUGAACCAGCCAUGCCGCGUGAAGGCGAGUGCCCUACGGGCGUUAAACUUCUUUUGUGCGGGAGCAAUAAGGGCCACGCGUGGCCCGAUGAGAGUACCGCACGAAUAAGCAUCGGCUAACUCCGUGCCAGCAGCCGCGGUAAUACGGGGGAUGCGAGCGUUAUCCGGAAUGACUGGGCGUAAAGGGUGCGUAGGUGGUUUGGCAAGUUAGUAGCGUAACUCCAAGGCUCAACCUUGGAACUACUACUAAAACUGUUGGACUUGAGUGCAGGAGGGGCAACCGGAAUUCCUAGUGUAGCGGUGGAAUGCGUAGAUAUUAGGAGGAACACCAGUGGCGAAGGCGGGUUGCUAGACUGUAACUGACACUGAGGCACGAAAGCGUGGGGAGCAAACAGGAUUAGAUACCCUGGUAGUC